GACGUAGGGCGCGAGCGUUGUCCGGAUUUAUUGGGCGUAAAGAUCUCGUAGGCGGCUUGUCGCGUCGACUGUGAAAACCCGCGGCUCAACCGCGGGCCUGCAUUCGAUACGGGCAGGCUAGAGUUCGGUAGGGGAGUGGGGAAUUCCUAGUGUAGCGGUGAAAUGCGCAGAUAUUAGGAGGAACACCGGUGGCGAAGGCGCCACUCUGGGCCGAAACUGACGCUGAGGAGCGAAAGCAUGGGUAGCAAACAGG
rnacentral:rRNA from 1 species